GUAACAAUUUUUAAAUGUACUUUAAAUAUAUAAAGCUUACACCAGGAUUUGAAAACUCCUUCCUCUGUAUGGUUUAUUUUAAAGCAGUGAUACAGAAUCUUAUCAUAGUUUUCCACGGCACUGUUUUUGUGAUCAGUCACGUACGUAGAUUAACUGUAUACCAACAUGCAUGAUUCUGAAAUUCAUGAAGAAGUGCCACAUGUUUACUUGCAUCAGUAAAAAUUGAAACAAUGAGGGUGUUGUCAAGGGGCAGUUGAUUUCCCUCCGAAUCUUCUCACUGUCUGGGGUUUUGACCGUCACUUCAUGGCAGGAUUUCAAUAGAUACAUACAUUUAGGCCCUUCUUCAUGACUAACACCAUCAUGAUUGGCCCGCCUAUUUAUAGUGUACCUCAUGCCUUUUAGAAUCACCCCCUCCCCCCUGUUGUUUACAUUUCUUGUUCUCUCUGCACACAGAUAUAUGCACAACUCUCCAGCAUUGCUUAUUGCUGUAACUUGAUCGUAAAUUGGCAUUGUGUGAAAAUUGCAAGAUUGAUACAUCAUUAACAUGUAAUUGCUCAUGAUUUCUUUGGGCAAUGCAGCCCUAGUUUUUAAAUGUAAAUACCUUUUUCACUGUGUGUAAAAUCAUGACAGCUUUGCAGGCUCCUCUAAAACUGAUAUGCAAUAGGUACAGUAGGUAAUGGAGUACACACAUUUACAAAUACAUUUUUUUUUUAGCUUUCAGAAGAUCAAGAUAGUUUGAGAAGUUGUUUCAUCUGAAUGGCAUUUGAUGUUAAUUUGGGGUUAUGAAGAAUUUAUGGACAUCAAAGUCUGAAAUUCUGAAUCCUAUGCUGAUGUUUAAGCACCCUGAGAGCUUUUUCGAGCAAUCUUCCUUGUCAUCUUUAUCCUGUAACAGAAGAAGGAUGUAUGGAAAGAUGCAUAAAUAUUUAUUGAUGAACCACUGCACGCCCAUUCUGUGGAAAAAAAAUUGAAGUCUUUAGUCUUUACAUAUCGUAAUCAAUCUAAGAAUAAAUGUAGUAACCAAAGUUCUUUUGAAAGUCUUCUAUAUUAAUGUCUGUCUAGUGUGCUAGCUGUGGCUGUAAAUAAAGAAAUUUCCUGUAUGUGAUUGUGAAGCACGGAUUUGGUUGAAAAAUCUCAUCGCAUCUCUACAUGUAUGUAUACGUGUAUUUAUCCAGCUGGGCCAUAUAAGUACACUAUUGAGUGUUUUGCCCCUAGACAUUUGAGAGUAGACUAGAUGCUAUACAUGCUUAAUCACAGCAGAGAUUGAUGGAAAGGUAGUUGAGAAUGUAUACGACCACUGUCCACUGACUUACCCCUUAUUUGGACUCUUAAAUUGCUGUGCAAUGCUACAUGUAUUGGAGAUACUGCUUAUGAUUACAUGUAUCAUCAACUUAUAAAAUUGUUAAUGUUGUUAAAAGAAUUAGAAAAUGUUAGACUACCAUUUUUGUAUUAUUCUAAGAGGCUUCUGUUUGUCAAUUAAAAUACAAAUUUAUUCGGUUGAUAUUGCCUAACAACUUUCACAUCUGGGGGUACUUAACAUAUACGUAUUCAAUUUUAUAUCUUAGUUCUAGUACUAAGUUAUUUCUUCUUACCCAAAUUAUCACAUGAGUUAUCCGAUUUUGUUAAAUAUAAAUGUAUUAAAAAAAAUGUUUAAACAGUAAGUAUAGUUGACUAAAAAUAUAUUAGAACUAUGAAUGUAUGAUGGCACAUCAGACAGGUUUACUGAUCAAUAUCCUUCUAUAGUCGUAGUUUCAAGAAGAGCAGUAUUUGUAUAGAAUAUUGACCAAAAUUCCACUCUUAGUAAUUUAUUUUCAAAGAUACUAUCAUUCUGUAUUGAUUGACAACAGGAGGAAAUACCAUUUCUAACCUUUCUAAACUUAAUGAUCGCAGAUAAUUUCAAAUCAUACUUCAAAGAGUCCACGAUGUACCUCGAAAAUAAAAAGGCAGAUUUGUUUAAUUUUUUACAGAAAAUAAGAGAGGAACAGAGAAACAGGUAUAUGUUAAGGUAGUAUUAUAAUUGUCGUUGUUAUUAUUUUCAAACUUCUAGUUUGUAAUCUUCAUAAAGGCCUAGCUGAAAAAUGAAAAUCUUUUAGUGCAAUUAUUCACAUUGAAUGAUACAGCAGUUGCUUUAUUUUAUGAACAUAUACAUGUAUUUGUUUCUAAUUCUGCAUGAUUGAAUUUAUGUUAAUAUCUAUUUUUUUAAUGUUAUUUUUGCAGGGAGAUUGUGUUUCCUUUGUUACAAGAUAGCUCAAAGCAGACAGUUACAAUUAUUCGUUUGACAUUUCUUUUAAACCUCCAUGGUGAAUAUUUCCAGUGUUUACAAGAAACAGUUGAAGGUUUUUGAACAUGUAUGAAAGUGGUCAUGUGAUCUGCCAGAGAUUAUGGCCAAGUUCAACUCCUGGAGAGUUCCCCAAUUGAUUAGCCAGUUCAGCAGUUUAACAAUUAUAUUGAUUCAUGUAAUCCUACCUAAAACUGAUUUUCAGUGUAAAUUUAUCUGCUCCAUUGACUCCAAAAUUAUGAAUAUUCAGAGAUAUGUAUUUGCAUAUUCAUAUUACAAUAUGCAGUCCACAUUUGAAUAAUAGUUAAAGGAAAGAUAUCACCAAUGAUACGUCUUUUAUCCAUCAAUUUCAUCCAACAUCAAAAUCUCUUGAUUUGACAUAUGAAUAAUUGAGAUAUCACCACCAUUAGAAAUGAUCUAAUCAAAGAGGUUUUUUGAAUGAAUAAAUGGAUAGAUAUAUGCUAUACUGUACAAAUUUCCCCCUUCUUCUUCUAACUGAAAUGUUAAUGUGAGUUUUGACAAUGCUGACUGCUGAAAAAACACGUGGUUGAUGUAUCAUAAAGUAAAAAGUGUGUCAGUAUGAAUGUAGGCUUGAUGAGUAUGCAAUAUUUGUUACAGUCGUGUAUAAAACCCUUUGAUAUUUUUAUUUAUACAUUAGCAGUGGAAUCAAAUAAAUGUAUAUCAUAUGAACAUGAUAUGAAUUAA